UGGGUAGCUGUAAGUAAGCGUUGAUCCAGAGAUUUCCGAAUGGGGGAACCCAGCAUGAGUUAUGUCAUGUUAUCGACAUGUGAAUUCAUAGCAUGUCAGAAGGCAGACCCGGAGAACUGAAACAUCUUAGUACCCGGAGGAAGAGAAAGAAAAAUCGAUUCCCUGAGUAGCGGCGAGCGAAACGGGAAGAGCCCAAACCAACAAGCUUGCUUGUUGGGGUUGUAGGACACUCUAUACGGAGUUACAAAAGAACAUGUUAGACGAAUCAUCUGGAAAGAUGAAUCAAAGAAGGUAAUAAUCCUGUAGUCGAAAACAUAUUCUCUCUUGAGUGGAUCCUGAGUACGACGGAGCACGUGAAAUUCCGUCGGAAUCUGGGAGGACCAUCUCCUAAGGCUAAAUACUCUCUAGUGACCGAUAGUGAACCAGUACCGUGAGGGAAAGGUGAAAAGUACCCCGGAAGGGGAGUGAAAGAGAACUUGAAACCGUGUGCUUACAAGUAGUCAGAGCCCGUUAAUGGGUGAUGGCGUGCCUUUUGUAGAAUGAACCGGCGAGUUACGAUCUGAUGCAAGGUUAAGCAGCAAAUGUGGAGCCGCAGCGAAAGCGAGUCUGAAUAGGGCGUUGAGUAUUUGGUCGUAGACCCGAAACCAGGUGAUCUACCCUUGGUCAGGUUGAAGUUCAGGUAACACUGAAUGGAGGACCGAACCGACUUACGUUGAAAAGUGAGCGGAUGAACUGAGGGUAGCGGAGAAAUUCCAAUCGAACUUGGAGAUAGCUGGUUCUCUCCGAAAUAGCUUUAGGGCUAGCCUCAAGUGAUGAUUAUUGGAGGUAGAGCACUGUUUGGACGAGGGGCCCCUCUCGGGUUACCGAAUUCAGACAAACUCCGAAUGCCAAUUAAUUUAACUUGGGAGUCA
rnacentral:rRNA from 1 species